rnacentral:rRNA from 1 species
AUAAUAUCUGUGGAUUAAAGGUGGCUUUCGGGCUGUCGCAGAUGGAUGAGCCUGCGUUGGAUUAGCUAGUUGGUGGGGUAAGGGCCCACCAAGGCUACGAUCCAUAGCUGAUUUGAGAGGAUGAUCAGCCACAUUGGGACUGAGACACGGCCCAAACUCCUACGGGAGGCAGCAGUGGGGAAUAUUGGACAAUGGGGGCAACCCUGAUCCAGCAAUGCCAUGUGUGUGAAGAAGGCCCUAGGGUUGUAAAGCACUUUAGUUGGGGAGGAAAGCCUCAAGGUUAAUAGCCUUGGGGGAGGACGUUACCCAAAGAAUAAGCACCGGCUAACUCCGUGCCAGCAGCCGCGGUAAUACGGGGGGUGCAAGCGUUAAUCGGAAUUACUGGGCGUAAAGGGUCUGUAGGUGGUUUGUUAAGUCAGAUGUGAAAGCCCAGGGCUCAACCUUGGAACUGCAUUUGAUACUGGCAAAUUAGAGUACGGUAGAGGAAUGGGGAAUUUCUGGUGUAGCGGUGAAAUGCGUAGAGAUCAGAAGGAACACCAAUGGCGAAGGCAACAUUCUGGACCGAUACUGACACUGAGGGACGAAAGCGUGGGGAUCAAACAGGAUUAGAUACCCUGGUAGUCCACGCUGUAAACGAUGAGUACUAGCUGUUGGAGUCGGUGUAAAGGCUCUAGUGGCGCAGCUAACGCGAUAAGUACUCCGCCUGGGGACUACGGCCGCAAGGCUAAAACUCAAAGGAAUUGACGGGGACCCGCACAAGCGGUGGAGCAUGUGGUUUAAUUCGAUGCAACGCGAAGAACCUUACCUGGUCUUGACAUCCUGCGAACUUUCUAGAGAUAGAUUGGUGCCUUCGGGAACGCAGUGACAGGUGCUGCACGGCUGUCGUCAGCUCGUGUUGUGAAAUGUUGGGUUAAGUCCCGCAACGAGCGCAACCCCUAUUGAUAGUUACCAUCAUUAAGUUGGGUACUCUAUUGAGACUGCCGCUGACAAGGCGGAGGAAGGUGGGGACGACGUCAAGUCAUCAUGGCCCUUACGACCAGGGCUACACACGUGCUACAAUGGGUAUUACAGAGGGCUGCGAAG